rnacentral:rRNA from 1 species
CACGUAGGGUGCGAGUGUUGUCCGGAAUUAUUGGGCGUAAAGAGCUCGUAGGCGGUGUGUCGCGUCGGCCGUGAAAACCUGCAGCUUAACUGUGGGCUUGCGGUCGAUACGGGCAUCACUGGAGUUCGGCAGGGGAGACUGGAAUUCCUGGUGUAGCGGUGAAAUGCGUAGAUAUCAGGAGGAAUACCUAUGGCGAAAGCAGGUAUCUGGGCCAUCACUGACGCUGAGCUGCGAAAGCUAGGGGAGCAAACAGG